ensembl:lncRNA
CUACUCGGUCUGUAUUGGUUUUUGACAGUCGAUGGAACGGGAAAGCAUAUCAACCUUAUAUUUGAAGUAAUCCUUUGCUAACUCUUUGUGAGAUUAUCUUUCCUGGAGUCUGUCUUGUGGGGCAACAAUUAAAGGCAUCAUUUUUCUGCAAUGUCCACAAAUCAACGUGCACACACACGCACACACACACACACACACACACACACACACACACACACACACACACACACACACACACACACACACACACACACACACACACACUGGUGAGGCGCAGAGGCAGGGCAGGAGGUUAAGUACUCACCGAGGCCCCAGCAAGGUGAGCGAGCAACAAGCUCUCAAAGUCUCAUUGCAGAAUUCAACGUUUAUCCACCCUGGGUUGCUCCUACUGCUCUGUAUCGUUCCAUUUCUCCAAAAGUCACAUUUCGAAGUUACAGGUUCAAUUUAGACACUCAUUCUGAAUGGUUAUGGUUUUGAAUAGGACUAAAACAUUACGUUUAGACACUCAUUCUGAAU